rnacentral:rRNA from 1 species
GAUGAACGCUGGCGGCGUGCCUAAUACAUGCAAGUCGAGCGAACAGACGAGGAGCUUGCUUCUCUGACGUUAGCGGCGGACGGGUGAGUAACACGUGGAUAACCUACCUAUAAGACUGGGAUAACUUCGGGAAACCGGAGCUAAUACCGGAUAAUAUUUUGAACCGCAUGGUUCAAUAGUGAAAGACGGUUUUGCUGUCACUUAUAGAUGGAUCCGCGCGGCAUUAGCUAGUUGGUAAGGUAACGGCUUACCAAGGCAACGAUGCGUAGCCGACCUGAGAGGGUGAUCGGCCACACUGGAACUGAGACACGGUCCAGACUCCUACGGGAGGCAGCAGUAGGGAAUCUUCCGCAAUGGGCGAAAGCUUGACGGAGCAACGCCGCGUGAGUGAUGAAGGUCUUCGGAUCGUAAAACUCUGUUAUUAGGGAAGAACAAAUGUGUAAGUAACUAUGCACGUCUUGACGGUACCUAAUCAGAAAGCCACGGCUAACUACGUG